UAAUUUUCUUUAAAUAUUUUCAAUUCAAUACUCUUAACAGACGAGUAAUUUCAAAUAACGGUUAGUGACGGUUGGAAUUUUUAUUUAAAAUAGCUUACGUCUACGUCAUGUAGGAAUGUAUUAUACGAAUUAAUUUAAAUGUAAUUUCUUGCUUAUAAGAGAAAAAAGACGAAGUGAAUCCCUCGAAUAUGUUUACUGCAUACCUUCAUAUUCAGCAAGGGCGUUCUCUGAAUAGCUCUUCACAUUGAGGCAGUAUUUCAUAGUGCAGAAAAGAUCUCGUCUCUCUGAACAGAAACAUACAUUGCACUCCACGAGAUAGGAUUGGCCGGGUUCACACUCGACUCCCACAUGCGGCAAUUGCGUAAUAAACAAGCAGACAGUUUAUCUGGAGAAUAUCGACCAACGGUAUACGCCUGGAAAUAGAACUAUACAUCGCUUAGGACUCAAGAGAGGAUCAACGAGUUUGGAAUAAAAGUAAAAUAAUGUUGGACAAAGAAAUGGAUACGAAAUAGUGCAAUAAUAUCCAAUAUAACCAUUUCCUGU